AUGACGGGUGCAACAUCUCGGGGAGAACCAAGUCGUCGUAAUGGCAUCUCUAGCCAGAACAGUUCAGUUGGUGCACGGCGACGUGGUGGCUCGACAAGUGUGGGCAACAGCAGUGGGGUCCCCCUUGAAGUGGAGCCUGAUGGCUACAAUUCUGGGGUUGAUGAAGAGAAGCUAUAUUCUGAUGUUAGUCGGAAUUUACGACAGGCACCUCGGACUGAAAACCAAGAUGAGGCUCACAAUGCAGUCCGUGUGGAUGAUGACGCGGUGGGUGAGGACGAAUACCUUGCAGCUGUUGAAUGGGACCCUUUGAACCCUCAUAUGGAAGAAGGUACAGUUUUUUGCAUCCAUGAAUAA
rnacentral:rRNA from 1 species